GCCGAUAUAGCUCAGGCAGUCAGAGCGAAGGAUUCAUAACCCUUAGGUCGCAGGUGCAAGUCCUGCUAUCGGCACCA
rnacentral:tRNA from 1 species